GUCAGAAGUUAAACGCAAAGGUAUCGCGGCUCGCGCAACAGCAAGCAGCAGCUUUACUGUAACCGCUCGGAGUUUCCCCGCGAAUGCAAGAGGAACUCUUCGUCUCGAGCAGAAUGAAUGGGUAUCAAGACACCAGAAACAGCGCUAGAGCGAGGGAAGCUGUUAAAAGAUGCAGUGUUGGGAGUCUUUUAACCUAGCCUGGUUCUUCUGGCGACUUGGCAGAGCUCACCCACCGAAGUCAGACCACUAUGGGCCGAAGCUGACCGAUAAAGGUCCAGACAUGAAGGAGACAGCGUCUUGUCUGUGGCAUCUCACAAUGAGAAGAGCUUUCAGCGUGUCGCGAGUUUCCAAAGUUGGUUCAGAAGAUACAUUGGAUGAGGUGGGGGCCAAAACACUCCUGGAGACUUAUCCUAUCCUGCACCACUGUAAAGGGCAGAUGUGCUAUAUUUAAGAUAUAGAUACUGAAUUUAAUCAUUUUUUUACAGCAAGACUGUGUUUGCUUUAUAGUCAUGUUAGCAAGACUGUGUUUGUUAAAAGCCAUCACCAAUGAUGAUGUGUAUGUCAACUCUAUUUUGAAUUACUUGUAUAUUCACUUAGCAACAACUUCUGUAUUGUAUUUUCAAAUGAAAAAGAAUAUUGAACUGGAAAAAAUGUUGGGCGGGGCUUGAUUUAAUAGUGAAGAAAUUAUCAAAUAUCAUUGGUUCAUAUGUUCGCCCCUCCCAUAUGGCCUUGAUUACAUCAGCAAAAAAUAUUUCAGUGCUAUUACAUCUCAACUAAAGAUUAUAAAAACUGUAAAUCUAAUUGUACAUUUUUUAUAGUGCACAAUAAGACAAAGGGGAGUAAAUAAAGUCAAUUGUUUUGUUAUGUUGUGUUCCCAAACCUUCAAAAGGGCAUAUAAGUUUGAGAGCAGAAUUCAUUGUGUUGUAUUUUGGAGUAGGUGACCUGUGCUAUGUCCUUCCAGCAUAGAGAGGUGGGAUGCACCCGCUUGUCUCCACAGUGACCUCUGCGCAAACUGUCAAGUCGACUCACCAUCAGGCCACCGUUUGCCUCAGUGAACAUUCAACGCUGUCGGUGAGUUUAAGCUAAAUAGAAAAAAACCAUCGACCGUUGAUUGUACCCUGCGGCCGAGCCCCACCGAGCCUCGUCUCUCCCCACCGCGGGCAAAGACGAAUUCUAGCAUGGACUCCUGGAGACACAACGGUUUUUUCUUCCAACACUACUGGCAGCCUCGGACGGUGCCUGAAAAGUUUGACUUUGAAAACUACGACAAAAGGUCACAAUCAACAUUCAUUGCUGUCGGUGGGUUGGACAGUUAAGGAAAGCUCACUGAACAAUGAAUGCAACUGUGUCCCAGAUUUCCUUCUCGCAAUGUGCCAUCGGAUAUAAAUAUUAACUGACAGAGCUGGAUAUACUCAUUUGCUCAUCUGAGUUUGUUUGUGGCUCUUCGACCGAGAACACCAUGUCAGAGGCCCCUUUAAGGCCAAUGAAUGUUUCCUUUGUAUAAUAAAUAAAGACAAGACCUAU